GAUGAACGCUGGCGGCGUGCCUAAUACAUGCAAGUCGAGCGAACAGACGAGGAGCUUGCUCCUCUGACGUUAGCGGCGGACGGGUGAGUAACACGUGGAUAACCUACCUAUAAGACUGGGAUAACUUCGGGAAACCGGAGCUAAUACCGGAUAAUAUAUUGAACCGCAUGGUUCAAUAGUGAAAGACGGUUUUGCUGUCACUUAUAGAUGGAUCCGCGCCGCAUUAGCUAGUUGGUAAGGUAACGGCUUACCAAGGCAACGAUGCGUAGCCGACCUGAGAGGGUGAUCGGCCACACUGGAACGGAGACACGGUCCAGACGCCUACGGGAGGCAGCAGUAGGGAAUCGUCCGCAAUGGGCGAAAGCUUGACGGAGCAACGCCGCGUGAGUGAUGAAGGUCUUCGGAUCGUAAAACUCUGUUAUUAGGGAAGAACAAAUGUGUAAGUAACUAUGCACGUCUUGACGGUACCUAAUCAGAAAGCCACGGCUAACUACGUG
rnacentral:rRNA from 1 species